rnacentral:rRNA from 1 species
AAAGCAGGUCAUAGUGAUCCGGUGGUUCUGAAUGGAAGGGCCAUCGCUCAACGGAUAAAAGGUACUCCGGGGAUAACAGGCUGAUACCGCCCAAGAGUUCAUAUCGACGGCGGUGUUUGGCACCUCGAUGUCGGCUCAUCACAUCCUGGGGCUGAAGUAGGUCCCAAGGGUAUGGCUGUUCGCCAUUUAAAGUGGUACGCGAGCUGGGUUUAGAACGUCGUGAGACAGUUCGGUCCCUAUCUGCCGUGGGCGCUGGAGAACUGAGGGGGGCUGCUCCUAGUACGAGAGGACCGGAGUGGACGCAUCACUGGUGUUCGGGUUGUCAUGCCAAUGGCACUGCCCGGUAGCUAAAUGCGGAAGAGAUAAGUGCUGAAAGCAUCUAAGCACGAAACUUGCCCCGAGAUGAGUUCUCCCUGAGACUUAAAGUCUCCUGAAGGAACGUUGAA